rnacentral:rRNA from 1 species
CGGGUGAGUAAUACAUCGGAACGUGUCUUCUAGUGGGGGAUAACUGCCCGAAAGGGCAGCUAGUACCGCAUGAGACCUGAGGGUGAAAGCGGGGGAUCGCAAGACCUCGCGCUGGAAGAGCGGCCGAUGUCCGAUUAGCUAGUUGGUGAGGUAAAGGCUCACCAAGGCGACGAUCGGUAGCUGGUCUGAGAGGACGACCAGCCACACUGGGACUGAGACACGGCCCAG